CUGUGUGUAAUACUGGUGUUYGAGACGUGACAGAUCCACAGCCAUAUUUUAAAAAAAGAGGUUGGCAUAUUCAUGAGAAUGCAAAGUUACAAAAAAUAUUUGAAGACUGGAGAAAAUGCAGAAAAUGGCCACAGCGAGUCAGUUGCUGCCCCAGGAGACACAAGCACUGGAAGCUGGCUCUGCCAGGUGUAGCCACUACUUGGAUCGAACUCCCCAUCUGGGUGGGAGUAGAAGCAUAAGCACUGCCCAGGAAGGAAUUUUGCAGAUGCUGAUCACUGUGAAAUGUGUCCCCAGUGCCAUGUCUGCAGGCAAGCAAUUUCUGCCAUCCUCCCACUGAAGUCUGAACCUCAGAUUUGGUAGGCUCAUUUCAGCAGUAAAUAAAGAUUUGACUAAAGCAAACUGGCA
rnacentral:lncRNA from 1 species